CGCGGGGUAGAGCAGCUAGGUAGCUCGUCGGGCUCAUAACCCGGAGGUCGCAGGUUCAAAUCCUGUCCCCGCUA
rnacentral:tRNA from 1 species